GAACAAUGGCGCUGUCAUGGCCCAGCAGAGCAGCUCUGAAGAUGCAAAGAUACAUGAAAGAAUUCCAGAAUAUGCGGGAGAAUAUUUAAUGGAAAACCGCUUGGUUAAACCUGACACUCUUCAUGGCAUUCUGGGUGUGGACGAUCAGCCAGUGAAGAUAAUGAAUGUCGGAUGUCACUGA
rnacentral:lncRNA from 1 species